UAGGUCUUCAUAAUGAAACUUGGAGCUGUGAAUUUGGACCUGAGAUGUACCCCAUGAGGAAUCAGGUACCACAGUUUAGAAGAAAGUCUGGUAAGUGAGUGUGAGUCCUUAAGAGGGCAACCAGGAUGGUGAUGAUUGUGGAGAUCAUGACAUCUGAAGAUCAAUUUGAAGAAGCUAAGGAUGUUUGGCCUGAAGAAGAGAUGAGCCAGGGAGGACAUGAUAACUGUGUUCAAGUAUCUGAAGGUGGGGAAACUGAAGUCCUAAAGAAGGAAUGAUUUGCCAAAGGACUCAUAAGGAGUAAGUAGCAGAUAGGGGGGCAGAGACAAGAUGGCAGAGUGAAAGCAGUGACUUGCUUGAGCUCUCCCCCA